rnacentral:lncRNA from 1 species
GGCAAACUGCUCCGGUCCCUUCCCACGCUGUGGGAGCUUUGUUCUUUCUCUGUUUGCAAUAAAUCUUGCUGCUGCUCACUCUUUGGGUCCCCAGUGCCCUUAUGAGCUGUAACACUCACCGCGAAGGUUUGCAGUUUCACUCCUGAAGCCAGCGAGACCACGAACCCUCCGGGAGGAACGAACAACUCCGGACACGCCGCCUUUAAGAACUGUAACACUCACCGCGAGCGUCCGCAGCUUCAUUCUUGAAGUCAGUGAGACCAAGAACCCACAAUUCCGGACACAGUAGGAGCCAGUGUUACAAAAAACAAAAGCAGAACCAAUUUCCUGCCUUCAAGGAACAUGAAGUCACUGAAUCCCAUCAUCUUUAUUGAGAGACAUUCCUUUGGAAAGAAUACUUCCAAUCAUUCUAUCAAAAAUCUUAUACUUGAAGAGAAGCCCUGCUGGAAUGAAAGCUCCAGAUGGCCUUGUUUCAGAGUACGGGAAUGGACGAAGAUAGAAUAUUACCAGAACCAAAGUACAAGUCCUGCUACAAAUAGGGUGCUUCUCUGAUCCUGACAUGAAAAAUAUAUGUUCAAAGCUACAGUCAUGGGAUUAUAACCUAUGUCUCAAAAAUCAUUCAGCCUCAUUGUUCAAGCCCAAGAAUUCACCCAAGGAUGAAGAGUGUUAGAUAUUAAUGUAGACUCAAAGCUUGUUACCUAUUACUACAUGACAAGGAUUUUAUGUUUUUUUUCUUACUUCAGUGCUCAUAGUGGCUUCCUACAUCAUGUUGACUAGGUAUCAAGCCAUUUCCUAGCUCCCUGUAGCAAGUUUAUUUCUCUCAUCUUUUGCAGUUUUCUACACAGGACCUGACCAGUUUUGCUUUGUGUCUUUUGCUAUGUCAUACACUGAAUGAGUAAUCCUAUUAUUCAAAGAGAUUAUUUUACUAAGUUAGUAUUUUAAGCAUAGCUUAUAGUAGAGUGAGCAUAAUUGAGCAACACCAAACUUUUAAAAUGUAUUUCUUACCCAUUUACAUGAAUAGUUUCAUUUAAUUUAUUGGCAAGUCUACAAGUGUCUUUGAGGGUUGACUUUCUGACUUCACAGCACACAGAUGCCAGGAGAUGUGACUUUUGCUUCUUUUUCUAAAGUUAUAACUGAACAAUUACUACAUGUCUUUUAAUUUCUUUCUAUUCCCUGGUGAGAGUGCAUUGGGAAGAAGAAACCAUCACUGCCAUAUUGUUAUACACAUUCAUUUUUACUACACUUUCUGCAUUUUUAGUGAAAGAGAUAAUCUUCAUUUUCUCUGAUGCUUCUUUCCCAACUUCAGCUGCAGAUCCCAUCUCCUCUUAACUCAUCAGGAAACUUAAUCAUUUCCUUCCUCUCUCCUGUUUAUUUAAUCCCUCUCUCCCGCUCUAUCUCUCCAUUGGCUCUACAUUCUCAGAUAUAGCUCCUGCUUAAAAAUAUCUUCCUUAGACAAAGUUACCGAUCUGCCUUCUGUUGUUGACCUGUCUCUCUCCUUGAAAGGGUUGACAACAUUUGCACUUUUCAUGUUGUAAUUGUCUAUACAUUUUUAAAUUUAUUGCCACCUGGUUUCCUCUUCAACCAGGCAAUUAAAAUAGCUCUUGCCAAAAUCACUGAUAAUAAAUAGUCACUCUUCUUUUCCAGUUUUUAUAUUGAUGUCUCUAAAGAAUUUUUUCUCAGUUGGUCACUGGUCACUCCUUACUAUUAUAAACUAAUUUAUCUGAGCUUAUGUGAUAUCAUAGUCUCAUAUUCUCUUGGCUUUCUUCUCAUCUUUCUGACUACUCCUACUGUACAUUUGGGAUUAGAUUUUUUUCCACUUUAAGUAAUAAUGUUUCUAACUGUAUGAUUUCAGGGACCAUACUGCAAUGACUCUUCAUAUAUAUAUAUGAAUAUGUAUAUGUAUAUAUAUGUAUAUAUAUAUAUAUAUAUGUAUAUAUAUAUUUAUGAGAAAGAGACAGACAGAGAGAAGAGAGAGGGAGGAGCGAUUAGUCUCCUAUUAGACAUUUCUCCUUGACUGUUCCAUAGGUAAUUUGGAUGUGUUCCAAACUGAGCUCAUGCUCAUCUAAUAUGCUUUUCCUCCUUUAUUCACUGUCUCAGUUAACCCAUACCCUUACGCUCACACAUUGUUAAAACCUGGGGUCUCUUUUAUCUCUGUGGUUAAUGUGCAAUAAAAUCUUAACAAUUCUGUUUUACUUACCUUUUGACUCUUUUCUCUUUUCUUAUUCCCAGUAUUAUUUUCUUCGUUUAUGUCUCACAAUUUUUCUUCUUUAAAUUACAGCAUUAGCCUCCUUACUGGUCUUCCUGUCUCCUGUUUUGAUCGCUUCAGUUUAUUUGCCACAUUGUAGCUUUAGUGAUGUUUCUAAAUUGUUAAUUGGAUCAUGUUACUCCCUUGUUUAAAACAUUUCACUAACCUCCUGAAAUCUUCAGAAUAAAAUUAUGAUUUCUUAGAGGUGCAGGCAUUUUCUGAUUUCAUCAGAAGCGUCCUUUGACUUGCCUUCAGCCUUACCAGCACACUUAUCUCCCAAAUAUGGACUAGGUUCUUAGGUUUUGCAAUUCUAUAAUAUCACUCUGCACCAUCAGAAUACUCACCACAUUAUAUUGUCAUUGUUAUUUUUUGUUGCCAUUUGAAUAGUCUAUUUAAUCUUUAUAUCCCUGUGUCAGUGCUUGGAACACUGAGAUGAAUGUUGAAACGAUGAGUGAAGAAUGACUGAAAAGUUUUCAAAUUUGUAUUUAAAAUUUAGAUUCUCCCCAGCACUUCGGUAGGCUGAGGAGGGUGAAUCACCUGAGGUCAGGAGUUUGAGACUAGCCUGGCCAACAUGGUGAAACCCUGUCUUUACUAAAAAUAAUAAUAAUAAUAGUAAUUAGCCAGGCAUGGUUGCAGACGCCUUAGGAGGCUGAGGCAGGAGAAUUGCUGAAACCCAGGAAUCAGAGGUUGCAGUGAGCCAAGAUCGUGCCACUGCACUCCAAACCGGGUGACAACUUUGAGACUUGGUCUUAAAAAAAUAAAAUAAAAUAAAAAGUUAGGUUCUCAAGCAAGGAAAUAGCAAGAAAGCCAUUAAAGAACAUUAGAUUAACAGAUAAAGUAAGGAAAUCUGGAAGUGUGUGGAGAUGGUGAGAUGACUGUUAGCCAUGAGGCUUUUGUAACAGAUGUGAAGUCAUUAAAAAAAAAAAUACCUGAAAUGGUUACUAGGGUGAUGUGCAAAAUAACAAUGAUACUUUUUAAACUUAAAUAGUUAAAUUCCUAGGAUGUAUUAUGUCAUAGAUCCCAGAAAGAUUAAAGAAUUACCUUGAAGUAUUCUUAAAGCAGUAUGUAUUCCAAAUGCAUUAUCUAUAUAAUUUACAAAUUCAUACUACACACACACACACACACACACUUUUAGAUUUAAAGGAAACCAAUAAUAAUUUGAGCUGCGUAAAUCUUACAUAAUUGUAAUUUGUUUAGAACAAACUUCAUUCUUUCAUAUUUAAAAUUUUUCCCUAUUUGGUCUCUUAGCUACAAAAGCCUAAAGGGCUUAAAGUUGCCUCUUUGUUUUAACUGUAAUGUGAGCCCUUAUAUGUGCUUGCCAAAUGUUGCCAUGAUUGUGAUUUUAAAAUAAAACACUUUGCUUAUGUGUUCAUAUAAAUAGAAAGUUUGGAAUAAUUAGAUUUUUAUGAGGUCAAAUUCAGAAAACUGAUAUUUAUUUUCUUUAAAAAUCCUAGAAGUGUAUUGUGUUAUUUUGCUGCAGGUGUUAGCACUUACUAAAUUUCAACAAUACACUGUUUUUGAGACCUAUAAAAUACUGUUAAUAUUCAAAAUUAUGUGUAAAACUGUGCUAAAUCAAAACAAGUAUCAUUUUUCAAAGUUUUCUUUUAAACCAGUAUCUGUAUCAACAGAAAACAAUAGCUGUUGCCUAUCACCAUCUGGUGCCCAUUGGUUAACUUAUAAGUAUUUUUUGGUCUUUAUUUUAGUCGUAGAUCCUCUUGUAUGUGGUUUAACAAAAUAUAUUUAACUGAAGCAGAAAAGCUUCUUAUGUAUUGAUUUAUACAUUUUGAUUUUCCAAUUGUUGAAGUGCUUUCUUUUUUUCUUAAUCCAUAUAAAACAUUUUAAGAUUAUUUUAAACAUCACAUAUUCUAUUUGCAGAGGAUCAUUUAGUUCAGUAAGUGAUAAAAAACAUAAACAGCCUCAUAUAAUACAAAAAGAGCUCCCAAAUAGGCAAUGAACACAACAUUCUUGUUAAAUGAUUUUGACUAACCAGUCUUUAUAGCAACAUUGAAUUUUGUGGUUUUCAUUUUAUUUCAUAAGUAAGCUCUAUAUUUCUUUCAAAAACAAAUACAAAUGUUGGACUUUAUUUUACUUAUUUCAUCAUGAUGACUUAUGUAUUAGACCAUUUUCACACUGCUAUAAAAAUGCCGGAGACUGGGUAAUUUAUUAAAAAAAAAAAAAAGGUUUAAUUGACUCACAGUUCCACAUGGCUGGGGAGGCCUCAAGAAACUUACAAUCAUGGUGGACGGGAAAGCAGACAUGUCUUACAUGGCAGCAGGUGACAGAAGCCUGGAGGAGGAGCUUCCAAAAAUUUAUAAAACCAUUAGAUCUCAUGAGAACUCUUUCACUAUCAUGAAAACAGCAUGGGGAAAACUGCCCCCAUGAUCCAAUCGCCUCCCUCCCUCAACUACAAUUUGAGAUGAGAUUAGGGUGGGUACACAGAGCCAAACCAUAUAAAGUUAUUUUAGUUAUUUUCUUCUUCUAAAAGAAGUAAAGCUUUUCUGUUUUUUUUUAAAAAUUAUUAUUAUUUUGUUUAGUAUAGUAUCAUUAUACUCUAAAAUUAGGUAGGAAUUAUACCACCAAAACUUUUUGUAAACACCCUUUUAUUGUAAAUAAACAAGAUACAGAAAGCUACACAAAUGUAUGGCUUCAUUAACUGUUUUAAAGCAACACAUCUUGUUAACUACCACACAGGUCAAGAAAGAGAACUUUGCCACUCACCUCAGAAUCUCGUCAGUUAUGUCUCAAACAUAAUCCCCACCUUCUCUCAAAAGCAACCACUAUGUUGACUUUUAUAGUCUUCACUUCCUUUUUUAUUAGUCAAGUGUGCAUUCUGGAUACUAUAGUUUAAUCUUGACUAAUUAAAAAUUAUGUCGUUUUAUGUCUCUUUCAAUCUACAAUUUCUCCCUUUGUCCUUUUUUCUUAUGAAAAUUUAUUUGUUGAAGAACCUGGGCAAAUGCUGACUGUAAUUAAACAAAUUCCUUUGGUCUCUAUAUUCACUGAAACUCAGUAGCUGUAUCCAGAGGCGUAAUCAGAUUUAGAGUAGAUUACUUUGUGUUUUCUUUCAUUAGGAGGCAUUGAAUGCUGUUUUUCUCUCUUUUUCUGAUGUUAGCUGCUAUUGAUGCUCAGUGCCUAGGUCUAUUAAUUCAUUGGUAGUUGCAAACAAUUAUAUUCUAGUUCUGUCCUUUAUUUUUCAAAUCUUAAGGGGAUAAAGUGCAUACUUCCCCUUAUCUCUUUUGUUAUUCAGUAGGACAGUUCAUUCAGGAAAGUCAGGAUAAAUGCUUGAUUAAUUCCCUUUAGUUAUCAGCUUUCAAAAUAAUAAGUUGACUCCUUUUUACUCUCAGAAGAUGAUUUAUUAGUAUUUAAGAGAAAAUCACUGUGAACUUAUAGAUUAAAACAUUUUGGCCAGGUGCAGUGGCUCAUGCCUGUAAUCCCAGCACUUUGGGAGGCUGAGGAGGGCGGAUCACGAGGUCAGGAGAUCGACCAUCCUGGCUAACACGGUGAAACCCUGUCUCUACUAAAAAUACAAAAACAAAAUUAGCUGGGUGUGGUGGUGGGCGCCUGUAGUCCCAGCUACUCGGGAGACUGAGGCAGGAGAGUGGCAUGAACCCGGGAGGUGGAGCUUGCAGUGAGCUGAGAUAGCGCCACUGCAUUCCAGCCUGGGCUACAGAGCAAGACUCUGUCUCAAAAAAAAACAACAACAACAACAACAAAACUUUUAUUUUAACUAAAAUUAUUAUUCUUUUUUGAAGCUCACAUAGUUGUAUCAUUGGCCAGUGGGGCCUUCUUCAAGUUGGCACCUUAAUUCUUUUGCAAUGAACCUAAUAAUCUCUUACUGUUUCUUCUUUAUCUAAUAUGACCAUGUUUCAGGUUAAUCUGUAUGUUUUCUUUCCCACAACAGAAACCAGCUAUUUCUCCAAGAAGCCCUGGUUUCUCUUAGUAAGAAAUGGUAUUUUAAGAUCAUUAUCUGGGCACUAGGAAAACUUGGUUAGUUAUUAUUUCUAGAUUCCUUUAGUUAAGAGAGCUAGAAUAUUAUAUACAUAUACACACAAGCAGACUCACACACACACAGAUAUUAUACUUCUGCAUUUGAAUGCAUAUUGUUAUUUCGUAUUCAAAUUCAGGACUAUAGAUUUCUUUUGCAUAAUCUCCUCUAUAUUAUAUUUUAAUCCUCACUUCCUGAUAUUGUUUGGCUGUGUCCCCACCCAAAUCUCAUCUUGAAUUGUAGCUCCCAUUAUUCCCAUGUGUUGUGGGAGGGAUGUGGUGGGAAGUAAUUGAAUCAUGGGAGUGGGACUUUCUUGUGAUAGUGAAUAAGUCUCAUCAGAUCUGAUGGUUUUAUAAAGGAGAGUUCCCCUACACAAGCUCCCUUGUCUGCCUGCAUGUAAGACGUGACUCUACUUCUCCUUUGCCUUCUGCCAUGAUUGUGAGGCUUCCCCAGCCCUGUGGAAUUGUGAGUUCAUUAAACCUUUUUUUUAAUGAAUUACCCAGACUCAGGUAUGUCUUUAUUAGCAGCAUGAGAACAUACUAAUGCGUAAAUUGGUACCUGUAGAGUGGGGUGCUGCUGUAAAGAUACCCAAAAAUGUAGAAGUGACUUUGGAACUUUGUAAUAACAGGCAUAGGUUGGAACAGUUUGGAGGGCUCAGAAGACAGGAAGAUGUGGGAAAGUUUGGAAAUUUCUGGAAACCUUUUGAAUGGCUUUGACCAAAAUGCUGAUAGUGAUAUGGACAGUAAAGUCCACGCUGAAGUGGUCUCAGAUGGAGGUGAGGAACUUGCUGGGAACUGCAGCAAAGGUGACCCUUGCUAUGUUUUAGCAAAGAUCUUGGCAUUUUGCCCUUGCUGUAGAGAUAUGUGAAACUUUGAACUUGAGGGAGAUGACUUAAGGCAUCUGGUAGAAGAAAAUUCUAAGCCUCAAAGCAUUCAAGAGGUGACUUGGGUGGUGUUAAAAACAUUCAGUUUUACGUAUUCACGAAGUUACAGUUUGGAAUUGGAACUCAUGUUUAAAAGGGAAGCAGAGUAUAAAAGUUUGGAAAAUUUGUAGCCUGACGAUGUGAUAGAGAAGAAAAACUCAUUUUCUGAGGAGAAAUUCAAGCUGGCUGCAGAAAUUUGCAUAAGUAACGAGAAGUCAAAUGUUAAGUCAAGACAAUGGGGAAAAUGUCUCCAGUGCAUGUCUGAAGUCUUCACAGCAGUCCCUCCCAUCACAAGCUGGAGGCCUAGGAGGAAAAAAAUGGUUUCAUGUGCCAGACCCAGGACCUCGCUGCUUUGUGCAGUCUGAGGACUUGGUACCGUGUGUCCCAGCCAUGGCUAAAAGGGGCCAAUGUAGAACCCAGGCCAUUGCUUCAGAGAGUUCAGGUCCCAAACCUUAGCAUUUUACAUGUGGUGUUGGGCUUGUGGGUGCACAGAAAUCAAGAAUUGAGGUUUUGGAAUCUCUGCUUAGAUUUCAGAGGAUGCAUGGAAACACCUGAAUGUCCAGGCAGAGGUGUGCUGCCGGGGCAGAGCCCUCAUGGAGAAGCUCUGCUAGGUAGUGUGGAAGGGAAAUGUGGGGUGCAAAUUGGAGCUAUUAGAAAAGGGCCACUGUCUUUUAAACUGCAGAAUAGUAGAUCCAUGGACAGCUUGCACUGUGACCUGGAAAAUCCAAAGAAACUCAAUGCCAGCCCAUGAAAACAGCCAGGAGAGGGGCCUGUACUCUGCAAAGCCACAGUGGCAGAGCUGCCAAAGACCAUAGGAACCCACGUCUUGCAUCAGUGUGACCUAGAUGUGAGACAUGGAGUCAAAGGGGAUCAUUUGUAGCUUUAAGAUUUGACUGUCCAGCUGGAUUUUGGACUGCAAAAUCCAACACCACAUGUAAAAUGCCAAGGCUUGGGACCUGAACUCUCUGAAGCAAUGGCCUGGGUUCUACAUUGGCCCCUUUUAGCCAUGGCUGGGACACACGGUACCAAGUCCUCAGACUGCACAAAGUAGCCCCUUUGUUUUGGCCAAUUUCUCCCAUUUGGAAUGGGUGUAUUUAUCCAUUGCCUAUACCCCUGUUGUAUCUGGGAAGUAACUAACUUGCUUUUAAUUUUACAAGCUCAUAGGUGGGAGGGAUUUGCUUUCUCUCAGUUGAGACUUUGGACUGGGGACUUUUGAGUUAAUGCUGAAAUGAGUUAAGAUUUGGGGGACUGUUGGGAAGGAUAUGAGAUUUGGGAGGGGCCAGGGUGGAAUGAUAUGGUUUGGCUCUGUGUCCACCCAAAUCUCAUCUUGAACUGUAGCUCCCACAAUUCCCAUGUGUUGUGGGGGGCACCAAGUGAAAGGUAAUUGAAUCAUGGGGUGGAUCUUUCUUGUGCUGUUCUCAUGAUAGUGAAUAAAUCUCACAAGAUCUGAUGGUUUUAUAAAGGGGAGUUCCCUUAGACAAGUUGUCUUGCCUGCUGCCAUGUAAAACGUGACUUUGCUCCUCAUUUGCCUUCUGCCAUGAUUGUGAGGCUGCCCCAGCCACGUGGAACUGUGAGUCAAUUAAACCUCUUUCUUUUAUGAGUUACCCAGUCUCAAGUACAUCUUUAUUACCAGUGUGAAAAUAAACUAAUACACCUCCAUACUGAGACUUCUCUUCCUCAAGGACACAAAAUUGAGAUUGAAUUAGAUCCCUUUAUACACGUAUUGUUCUGGGAAGAAUGCAUAAUGAUCUCUCUUUAGGCAUGUUAUCAUCUAUGAAUGUUCUAGCAAGGAAAUGCAUUGAAUUUGUCCUGUGUUUCUUUGCCAUAUUCCUAUAAUUUUAUUGUUUCAGAGUUAUUUUAUAUUGUAGUUCAAGGCAAGAUUUACCAUUAUCAGAGAUAACACCUGCUUCCUAGUCCCCUUACUCUUUUUCACUCUUUAGUUUCUUCCAUAUAUUGUCCUCAAUAGUUUUUUUUCCCCCAAUUACUAUUGUAAGCAUUUUUUUUUAAGAAUGUCAUCACCUUAGGGUUGUUUCCUAAAUAAAUAUUGGAUUGGCAUCUGCUCUAUCCCUUACUGAGUACUGGAUUCUGUUAUUGUAGUCAGCAAGUGUUAAACAAUUAGAAGAAUGAAAUGAUUGUGAGUAUGUAAAACUCUUUGUUUUGGCACAAAUCAUUGUUUUUAUUUAAUUUGGGAAAACAUCUUUACAAGUUGAUAAAUACUAGAACUGUCAAUGAGAAAAAUGCUACUGAAAUACCUAUUUUUCUCUUUGAUGGCAGACUUUCCUAAAUAUUUGCAUUUUAACAUAUUUUAUCUCAUACUUUAGCUGACAUUACUUAGUUGUAUAUGGAUCUGUUCUUAAUAAAAUAAAGAGAAAAACAUAAAGAGAGUAAAAGGAUCAUUAAAUUUGUUAUUACAAUUGUGUAGAAGUUUCCCUGUCAUAAAAUUUCUAAGCAUAGCAGUUGUCACUGAUUGUCUUCUAUAGAAGCAAAUAAUUUAUUUCAAUUUUCUAAUAUAAGUAUUAUUUUUCAUCAUGAAAAUCCAAUUAAAACAACUUUUUUUUUUUUUUUGAGACAGAGUCUCUCUUUUGCCCAGGCUGGAGUGCAGUGGCGUGAUCUCAGCUCACUGCAAGCUCUGCCUCCCGGGUUCACACCAUUCUCCUGCCUCAGCCUCCUGAGUAGCUGAGACUACAGGCGCCCACCACCAUGCCCAGCUAAUUUUGUUUUUGUAUUUUUAGUAGAGACGGGGUUUCACCGUGUUAGCCAGGAUGGUCUCGAUCUCCUGACCUCGUGAUCCACCGGCCUUGGCCUCCCAAAGUUAAAAGAACUUUUAUAAUUAAAUCUAAAAUGACUGAUUAUUGCCAGACAUGGUGGCUCACACAUGUAAUCCCAGCACUUUGGAAAGAGGAUGCCUUGAGCCCAGAAGUUUGAGACCAGCCUGGGCAACAUAGAGAGAUCUCAUCUUUACAAAAUUUAAAAAAAUUAGCUGGCUGUAGUGGUGCAUGCCUAUAGUCCCAGCUACUUGGGAAGCUGAAGUGAAAGGGAGGAUGGCCUGAGCCCAGGAGGUCAAGGCUGUAGUGAGCCAUAAUUGUGCCUCUGCACUCUAGAACUCCACACUUGGUAACAGAGCAAGGUCCUGUCUCAAAAAAAAAAAAUACUUAUUGCUAUUAUAUAAUCUAUAUCUUAACAUUUUUAUAUUAAACUUUUAAUUCUGGAUUUAAAAUUGUGUGUGACAUUGUCAGAGGAUUUCACUUUUAAAUGCAAAUAUAUAUUGAAGUUAUUUUUGGAGUCUUGACAAAGUCUAUAAAUUAAGGACAUAAAUUUUAAUACUAAAAUUUUAAACAUAUUUAUUGUAUCAAGUAGUGACUGGAAUUAUAAUACACUUGAAAUUACAGUAGAAUUUUUUUCAAAAAAUAUAAAAAUGCUUAAUAAAGCAUAUAGAAAAGUGUAUCAAGUAUGAGUCUUUUGAGAUGCUUCCUGAGCCUGUCCCUCCUGAAGAUUCAUCUGCCACGUUCCAGCAAUGCACCUUAUUAUGAUGACUUGGCAUUCACUGAGCACCAGCAUGAGAGUCAGCUUUCUACACACCAUGGUGCUAAGGAUGCCACCAGGACCCUAUGGCUGGCUCUUUGAAAUCUUACUAAAAGUUUAAAGUGAUUCCAAUAUGUUUCUUCUCAUUUAAAGACUUUCUGUGGUUAAAAAAAAAAUGCCAUAAAAUUUAUACUGCCAUAGUUAGAAUGACACUGCUAUUUUAAUAAAGAAAUUAUCACAUAAUAUUAAAACAUGAUGCAUUAUUUACUUCUUUUUCUCUAAGAAAAGGAAAUUCCGUUAAAUGAUAAAUAUUAUUUUUAAAAGGAAAGGAAUUAUUAUAAAAGGAAAUAUUACAAAAGGAAAUUCUGUUAAAUGAUAAAUGAGUGAUAAAGUGAACCUAUAAAUAUCACAAAUCACUUCAAAUUGAGAGACAUGCCAACAACUGCUUUGUAGUAAAGUAGACAUUUAUCAAAGAUUCAUAAAAAUGCAGUGUAAGUGAUGUUCAAUUAUUGUGGAAAGCCCAAUUCCUGUCUUUUUAAAAUUUUUAUAAUAAAUUCUAAGUAUCACAAAUAAAGUAUAAGGGAUGUAUUCAGUUGGUGGCAAAAACUGCAAUUACUUUUGCACUGACCUAAUAGUAGGGUCAUGCAUUAUUAAGAGUAAUGUCAGCAAUUAGCCCAACCUCUUCUCAGUGGACAUGAUUUGCCCAAAUUCACACAGGAAGUUAGAGACAGGACUAGCAUCCGGGACAUCUGACUUUCCAGUAUCUGUCUGCUUCCUAGAUACGUUUUAGAGUCAAAACUCUGUGGAUGAGAAAGGCUGUUAUCAAAUCAAUCCAAACGUAAGACAAUAGAGACUAGUGAGUCCUUAGUAAAUGUUAGGAUACUUGCCCUCUUUGAAAGUAUUAAUAUUCAAAUAUGUAAAGCAUUAUGACAUCCAGCUAAAAUAUACCCACAAGAUAGUUGGUUAUAUUUUGGAUAUUCUAAAGAUAUUUUACAGACAUUUAUGUAUAGUCAAUAUCUAAAAUAGGUUCAAGUAGUCACUGGGUACUACUAGAUUGGGGAAGGAGGAAGGAGGACAGGGUUGAAAUAGUAGUGGGUACUAUGCUCAGUACUUGAGUGACAGGAUCAAUUGUACCUUAACUUAGCAUCACACAAUAUACUCAGUUAACAAACCUGCACAUAUACCCCCUGAAUACAAAAUAAAAGUUGAAAUUAUUUAAAAAAGUAGAAUGGUUUUAUAUAGAUGUGUUUA